rnacentral:rRNA from 1 species
UACGAAGGGGGCUAGCGUUACUCGGAUUGACUGGGCGUAAAGGGCGCGUAGGCGGAUGGUACAGUCAGACGUGAAAUUCCUGGGCUCAACCUGGGGGCUGCGUUUGAUACGUGCUGUCUGGAGUUCGGAAGAGGGUCGUGGAAUUCCCAGUGUAGAGGUGAAAUUCGUAGAUAUUGGGAAGAACACCAGUGGCGAAGGCGGCUCACUGGUCCGGUACUGACGCUGAGGUGCGAAAGCGUGGGGAGCAAACAGG